CAGUUUGGAUGAGGAAACAUGUCGACUCACACCCUUUAGCUAACACUACUUAGGUGUUAGCCUAGCUUGUGUUAUGAUGUUUGAGGUGUUAGCCUAUAGCUUAUGUUAUGGUGCUUGAGGUGUUAGCCGAUAGCUUAUGUUAUAAGGUUUGAGGUGUUAGUCCAUAGCUUAUGUAGCUUAUGUUAUGAGGUUUGAUGUGUUAGCCUAUAGCUUAUGUUAUAAGGUUUGAGGUGUUAGCCUAUAGCUUACGUUAUAAGGUUUGAGGUGUUAGCCUAUAGCUUAAGUUAUGAGGUUUGAGAUGUUAGCCUAGGUUACCUUAUAAGAUUUGAGAUGUUAGCCUAGUGAAGGUAUUUGCUCAUAUUUUGGCUAGCUAACAAUAAAGUUCAAAUCAAGCACAUAGAGUAUGAAGAUGUUUUUUAGUACACAAGGAGAUCGCCUCGAAGUAAGGGAGGUUGAGAUUUCCUUCACUAGCUUAUGUACAAGGUUCGUGGUUUUAGCCUAGCUUAUGUUACAAGGUUUGCUGUGUUAGCCUACCUUAUGUUACAAGGUUUGCGGCAUUAGCCUAGCUUAUCUUAUGAGGUUUGAGGACAUUACUGUCACCGCUUCCACUCUUCUGAAAAGACUUGCCUCUAGAUUUCCAGACGCAAGAAGAAACCCAAACGGGAGAGCUUUAUCAUGCAGUCAUAUUUUAUUACAAAAAAGCAGUGUAUACAAAUUGCAAUGCAUAAUGGGAAUAAACAUAAAACAGUUUUUGGAGCUUCACGGAUGUCACGUCGGUCUUUGGGUUGUGUGGACACAACGAGAACACACAAAGUGGCCACUUCAACCUUGUGUUCUCCCUGACAGAUCACCAUCAGUUGCUGAAACAAAAAUCCUCCACAUUGUUGACUUUCAGCUGCUGUACUUCCUGGCUGUCCAGCAGUCUGUAGCUGAAGGACACCCUGUUGACGAACCUGCCGCUAGACACCAUCCGCACCACCGUGUUGUCGCAGCCGACCUUCAUGUGAGCUACACACACACAUUUAAUUGUUUUUUUUUUUUCCUUCAAUGGAAAGGAUAACAGCAGCGAUGCGGUACUUACUGGGACCAGCAGAGGCCACACAGAGGUCCGUGAUGGGCAGCAGCUUGGACGUGUCCAGACCGCUUCCUCCCAGGAGUUGCACAAAAUCCCCCGUUUCGGACGCACAUCCCGCCAUGGAUCUCUGUGGAAGAUGGCGUUUGAGACGUUGGCCUGCCACAGAGUCUACAAACCUGGAAGACGUUUCAUUGGCCUGCCACCAAGUCUACGCUUGAGAAGGAGUCGAAGGAGACUAUAAGCACUCACGGAAGGGGUUGGCCAACUUCCUGAUGGUCAGAGUGAAGCCGCUGCCGGCGUUGUGGACGCGGAAGAAGAUCAUGGCCACGUUCUGUGAGGAGUGCACGCUUCUCCUGAGGGAGGCCGAGUCACAGUAGUCCACGUAGCGCUCGUGUGGGGCCAGCGGGUGGUCCUGGGAGCUGGGGAACUUCUCCCCUUUCAUCAACCAGCCGUCAAACACCUUGGCGCAGGAGAACCAGAAGACAUCGAGAUGAUUUCAAGGCCCUUGGUUGUCUUGGCGAUGGCCUCACCGUGAUGAAGUCUCCACCCUGGCAGUCGAUGUCCACGCUGUUGUACUCCACGCUGAUGAUCUCGUCGGGCUCGGCAAUGAAGAAAGCGGCACAGCUGAGCUGAGGAUGCUCGGCUGUGAAGGUGAAGCGACCUUCAACGGCCACCAUGUCCACACAGCCUGCACUCAGUACAGGAAAAGGUACUCCUUAAGCCUUUUUUUACACAGCACCAACACAGCAUAGGUGGAGGACAAAGUCUACCAAGCCGCAAUUUUACGCCUUCAGAGGUAGCAUCAGACCCGUGACUGUGCGGCGUGUGGAAGUGGAUUAAGCCAUGGUGUGAAAUGAUUCACACAAAACAUUCACUUCCUUUGUCUUUUUGUACAUCACGCCAGACGUGUUUACACAGAGAUACCUUCAAUGUACCGGAUUUUUCAUUGGUACAAAAAUCCCCACAUUGAGUUGACGGAACUACUUUUUUGAAGAACCAAUGCUCUUCGACUAUUAUAAUUUAGAUUUGUUUUUUGAAGUUGCCAGAAGAAAAAGACACUGAUUGGUUAGUCAAAGACUAAAUUGUCGUAGAUGUUUACCAAAACACGUACGCUAGGUUUGUCAAAAUAGUAGAUUUUUACCAAAGCACACAUGCUAUGUUUGCUCAACACUAAAUUGUCGGAAAUGCUGCGAAAACAUCGUAUGAUCAGUUUGUUCAAAAUUAAAUUGUAGGUUGUAGGUUUGUCAGAAACUAAAUUCUUGUACGUUAGAUUUGUCAAAGACUAAAUUGUCGUAGAUGUUUACCAAAACACGUACGCUGGGUUUGUCAAAAUCCCAAUUCUAGUAGAUUUUUACCAAAGCACACAUGCUAUGUUUGUUCAACGCUAAAUUGUCGGAAAUGCUUGGAAAACAUCGUAUGAUCCGUUUAUUCAAAAUGAAAUUGUAGGUUGUGGGUUUGUCAGCAUCUAUAUUCUUGUACAUUAGAUUUGUCAAAGACUAAAUUGUUGGAAAUGAUCACAAAACGACAUAUGGUACCUUAGGUUCCUUAAACACCAAAUUGUUGUGAAUGAUUACAAAAACACGUACAGUAUGUUUAAGCUCAUUCAUGGUUAAAUUGUCCUGGUUGCUUACGAAAACGCGAAUGUUGAUUUUGUCGAAAGCUGAAUUGUCGUAGAUGUUUACGAAAAGACGUACUUUAGUUGUCAUCACUUACAAAAACACUUUGUCAGGUUUGUUAAUGAUUUGUUAAUGAUUGUCGGAAAUGAUUAGCAAACACAUGCGUUUGCUUAGUUAGACUGAAUCAGCAUUACAGAACCACUUCCUGUAUGCGCGGGUCAUUAAAGACUAAAUUGUCGUAGGUGACAGAAACAUGUGCGGUACGUUAGGUUUGUUAAAGAUCAAAAUGUCGGAAAUGAUUAUAAAACACAUUCGUGUUAAUUUGUUUGAAGCUACGUCAUCGAUGAUUACUCGAAUUCGUACGUUGAGUCCAUCAAAAACGAGGUCGUCAUCAAUUACAAAAACACGUAUGUUAGGGUUGUUAAUGACAAAACUGUCGGAAAUUAUUAUAAAACACGGACAGUAUGUUUGCGUUGUUUAAGGCUACGUCAUUGAUGAUUACUCAAACACGAACGUCAGGUUGGUUAAAGACCAAAUUGUCAUAGGUGAUUACCAAAACACAAUAAAGACAAAAUAGUUGUUAAUAUGUUUUUUUUUUAAAAAGGUCCGGUUUGGAUCAAUCCAUUAGUUUACUUGAAGUUUGCAGUUUAUGGUGUGAAGAGCUAAAAAGACAUGACGUGUUAAGAGGAUGCACUUUAGCUUCAAGAAAACAUCCAAACCUGCACAAUAGAGUGUUUAUUAACAGUAGUAAAGUGCGUGGCGGGCGACUUACGUAGCGGUCGGCGGUACAUGAUGACCUCCUGAGGUGUUUCCCUGCGCAGCUCCGAGUUAAAAAAGGAGUACAAUUCAUCUUUCAGGAUGUCGUUGUCCUGCACAGAGGACAACAAAAGGCGCGAGUGACAAGGAUGAUGAUGAUGUGGCCAGAGGACCUACCUCCAUGUGUCUGCAGUCUCCCUUGAGGACGCACACACUCAAGAGCAGGAAGAGGAUCUGCUGGCGGAAAGUGCGCUCCAUGUCUGCACGUCAAAGGCGCACCUGAGCGCAGAGAGUCGUGGAGCAGCUUUUAUAAGUUCUUCAAGUCGCCAACCGUGGACACCCCCAAGCACAAGCCCCCAUUACCUAGUCAUUGCGUCGUUGUGACGAUAAAGAUGGACAGUGAGGAGGAGGGGCGGAUGAUCCGUAAAGAAGAUCACAUGCAGAGCAGGGAUGGAGGAGGAGAGUAAAGCGUACGUGGACUUAUCCCCUGUGGAAAAACCCACAGCUAUAGGAGGGAAAAAAAAGACUGGCGUGGCAUUGUAGCUUUACCAAAACCCCAACACGUGUUUUUAUAGAAGGGCACAGACUAGUCAAAGGAAAAAUUACUUCAAAACCUAAUACUUUAAAGGAAAAGUACACUUAAAAAAAACAAAUUGCCCAUCAUCCACAAUCCUUGACCUUUAGAUGCAUAAGUGUGUCAAAAAUGACCCGGUCAGGUUGUUUUCUUGAAAUAUCUUCGUAAUGAAAAUUUUUUAUCAUUUCAUAUUCCAGGUAAUCCUCAAAAAACAUGUUUUUGAUAUCAUGCCAUUCACAUUUUUAACUUACCUUUUAUACAUUUUAAGAAAUUUUAGUUUUUGUGUUACUACCCCAACCUUCCAUAAGUGGGUCAAAAAUGACCCGAUCAGGUGUUUUCUUGAAAUAUCAAAUUGUAAUUGAAAUUGUAUGCAAAAAAACACAUUUUUUUUCAGGGUGCAUAGAUGGGAUGGGGACCCCAUGAGUUUCUUGCUUUGGGCCCCCAAGGACCCUUGCCCCACCACUGGUUAUGCCCAAGAACUACGUUACCUGAGUAGGCGGAAGGACAGGAAGGAAGACAGACUGCAGAACAGCACCCUCUGCUGGAUCUUGUGGGGAACUGCAUUCAUCACCAACUGAUGGAAGGCUGCACUAAACUGAUUGCAAGGCUUCGCCAUGCGAUGCUGGAUCCAUAAAACAGCACGGUGAAGCUGCUCAGGUGGGGUUUCGUGAAUGACCGACUCACUUUUCAUGUUGCAUUCAAGGACCUCACUCUGAGGGUCAGAGUAUUGAAAUGCUACAAGCGGGCCUCCGUGUAAUGCACACUUCUGGUGCCGAGUGGCACAGAACAACAUGUUAGUGUGUUCUGAGAUAAGCUCUAUAUAUGUGUGUGUGUGUGUGUGUGUGUAUGUGUGUGUGUGUGUGCGCCCGGCAAGCUUGAAACCUUCAUCAAACAUUAUCAUACCCCUGCAGGGCCAAUAGAAAAUUAAACUGCCACAUUUAGCAAUGAUAUCACUUCCAUUACCUGACUGUAUUAUCUUAUUCAUCAUUUUAAUAAAAAAAAAAAAACACUAAUUUGUCA